rnacentral:rRNA from 1 species
CACAAGCGGUGGAGCAUGUGGUUUAAUUCGAUGCAACGCGAAGAACCUUACCUACUCUUGACAUCCUCAGAAGAGACUGGAGACAGUCUUGUGCCUUCGGGAACUGAGAGACAGGUGCUGCAUGGCUGUCGUCAGCUCGUGUUGUGAAAUGUUGGGUUAAGUCCCGCAACGAGCGCAACCCUUAUCCUUGUUUGCCAGCGAGUAAAGUCGGGAACUCCAGGGAGACUGCCGGUGAUAAACCGGAGGAAGGUGGGGACGACGUCAAGUCAUCAUGGCCCUUACGAGUAGGGCUACACACGUGCUACAAUGGCGCAUACAGAGGGCGGCCAACUUGCGAAAGUGAGCGAAUCCCAAAAAGUGCGUCGUAGUCCGGAUUGGAGUCUGCAACUCGACUCCAUGAAGUCGGAAUCGCUAGUAAUCGUGGAUCAGAAUGCCACGGUGAAUACGUUCCCGGGCCUUGUACACACCGCCCGUCACACCAUGGGAGUGGGCUGCAAAAGAAGCAGGUAGUUUAACCUUCGGGAGGACGCUUGCCACUUUGUGGUUCAUGAC